rnacentral:rRNA from 1 species
UUGGUUAAGUUAGAAAGGGCGCACGGUGGAUGCCUUGGCACUAGGAGCCGAAGAAGGACGGGACUAACACCGAUAUGCUUUGGGGAGCUGUACGUAAGCGUUGAUCCAGAGAUUUCCGAAUGGGGGAACCCACUAUCUUUAGUCGGAUAGUAUCCUUACGUGAAUACAUAGCGUAAGGAAGGCAGACCCAGGGAACUGAAACAUCUAAGUACCUGGAGGAAGAGAAAGAAAAAUCGAUUUCCUGAGUAGCGGCGAGCGAAACGGAAAGAGCCCAAACCAAGAAGCUUGCUUCUUGGGGUUGUAGGACACUCUAUACGGAGUUACAAAAGAAAGUUAUAAAUGAAGCGGUCUGGAAAGGCCCGCCAAAGACGGUAACAGCCCGGUAGUUGAAAUGGCUUUCCCUCCAGAGUGGAUCCUGAGUACGGCGGAACACGUGAAAUUCCGUCGGAAUCCGGGAGGACCAUCUCCCAAGGCUAAAUACUCCCUAGUGACCGAUAGUGAACCAGUACCGUGAGGGAAAGGUGAAAAGCACCCCGGAAGGGGAGUGAAACAGUUCCUGAAACCGUGUGCCUACAAGUAGUUAGAGCCCGUUAAUGGGUGAUAGCGUGCCUUUUGUAGAAUGAACCGGCGAGUUACGAUUUGUUGCAAGGUUAAGCGGAAAAAGCGGAGCCGUAGCGAAAGCGAGUCUGAAUAGGGCGCAUAAGUAACAGGUCGUAGACCCGAAACCAGGUGAUCUACCCAUGUCCAG